CCCCUAGAUGUUCUGGGCCGCACGCGCGCUACACUGAUUCAUGCAACAAGUUUUGUCCUUGGCUGAUAGGCCUGGGUAAUCUUUGAACGUGAAUCGUGAUGGGGAUAGAUGAUUGCAAUUAUUCAUCUUCAACGAGGAAUUCCUAGUAAACGCAAGUCAUCAGCUUGCAUUGAUUACGUCCCUGCCCUUUGUACACACCGCCCGUCGCACCUACCGAUUGAAUGGUCCGGUGAAAUCUUCGGAUCUGAGAGAUGUCUGAUUAAUUUCGGACGCCUUUUGGAAAAGUUGCUUAAACCUUACCAUUUAGAGGAAGGUGAAGUCGUANCA
rnacentral:rRNA from 1 species